GUAUAUCUAUAACAUAUUUAAAGCAAAAAGUCAAAUUAAUCACUUGUUAUCACUUAUUCAUUCAAUAAUUGUUAAGGGCGGGGGACAGGAAUAAGACCUGGUGGUGCUGGGACAGGACCAGGAGGCUAUGGACCUGGUGGUGCUGGGACUGGUCCUGGAGGAUUUGGACCUGCUGGUGCUGGAACUGGACCAGGAGGAUUUGCACCUGGAGGUGCUGGGACUGGACCUGGAGGAUUCGGGCCUGGUGGUGCUGGGACAGGACCUGGAGGGUUCGGACCUGGUGGUGCUGGGACUGGACCUGGAGGCUUUGGACCUGGUGGUGCUGGGACUGGACCUGGAGGCUUUGGACCUGGUGGACAAGGACUCGGACUGAGAAAACCUCCAAAAUCUGGUUAUGGAGGAGCUGGAUUUGACACUGG
ensembl:lncRNA